GCAUAUCCGGAUAUCAUAUGUGAUACGACGAGACUCAGCCUUAAUAGCCCGGUCCGCAUUUGCGCGCCGCUGGCUUCUUAGGGGGAUAUCGGCUUGGCCGACGGAAGUGCGCGGGUUAACAGGUCUGUGAUGCCCUUAGCUGACUGGGGGUCGCGCCCUACCUGUUGCGCCAGCGAGAAAACUUUUGGUGCUCAAUCCGGGCAUAUGGUUAAACUGGAUUGGGGGAUACUGGUUGGGUGAUUGAUCCUCUGGAGGGUGCCGGGCGACGUGUCUUAGAAUUGUGAGUAAUCCCUACCUGUUAUACCACGCCGUCGUCCCCGAUCGAUGGCUCGUGAACGCUAGGAAGGCUGAGGCGGCGGGAAUUUUAAGGGGGAGUACGUGGUCAUCCUGUUAUUUGAAAAAAUACAGUCGAUCAAGUGCAUUGGAG
rnacentral:rRNA from 1 species